rnacentral:rRNA from 1 species
AGGUUCGAUUCUGGCUCAGAACGAACGCUGGCGGCAUGCCUAACACAUGCAAGUCGAACGAGACCUUCGGGUCUAGUGGCGCACGGGUGCGUAACGCGUGGGAAUCUGCCCCUCGGUUGGGAAUAACACAGAGAAAUUUGUGCUAAUACCUUAUAAUGUCUUCGGACCAAAGAUUUAUCGCCGAGGGAUGAGCCCGCGUAGGAUUAGGUAGUUGGUGGGGUAAUGGCCUACCAAGCCGACGAUCCUUAGCUGGUCUGAGAGGAUGAUCAGCCACACUGGGACUGAGACACGGCCCAGACUCCUACGGGAGGCAGCAGUGGGGAAUAUUGGACAAUGGGCGAAAGCCUGAUCCCAGCAAUGCCGCGUGAGUGAUGAAGGCCUUAGGGUUGUAAAGCUCUUUUACCCGGGAUGAUAAUGACAGUACCGGGAGAAUAAGCUCCGGCUAACUCCGUGCCAGCCGCCGC